rnacentral:rRNA from 1 species
AGAAAUAACAAUACAGGGCUAAUGUCUUGUAAUUGGAAUGAUGGUGACCCAAACCCUCACCAGAGUAGCAAUUGGAGGGCAAGUCUGGUGCCAGCAGCCGCGGUAAUUCCAGCUCCAAUAGCGUAUAUUAAACUUGUUGCAGUUAAAAAGCUCGUAGUUGAAUUUUAGCGUGUUCGAGUUUGCCAUUCGUUUGGCUUUUUCGAGUUCGCUUUUGGGUUUUCCCUUUUUACUUUGAGAAAAUUAGAGUGUUUCAAGCAGACUUUUGUCUUGAAUACUUCAGUCAUGGAAUAA